CAGCGUAGAAGCAGCAGUCAGAGCCAAAGAAGCUUUAAACGGUGCCGACAUUUACUCCGGUUGCUGUACAUUGAAGAUUGAUUUUGCAAAGCCAGAUAAACUUAAU
rnacentral:lncRNA from 1 species